AACGUAGGGGCUAGCGUUGUCCGGAAUUACUGGGCGUAAAGCGCACGCAGGCGGUCUGGAAAGCGGUGGGUGCAAUCUCGAGGCUCAACCUCGAAACUGCUCGCCGAACUACCAGACUUGAUCACGGGAGAGGACAGUGGAAUUCCCGGUGUAGCGGUGGAAUGCGUAAAUAUCAGGAGGAACACCGAUGGCGAAGGCAGGUCUCUGGGCUGUUACUGACGCUGAGGAGCGAAAGCAUGGGGAGCGAACAGGAUUAGAUACCCU
rnacentral:rRNA from 1 species